AUGAGGUCCCCGUUGCAGCCGGCCUUGGAUUUCGUGUUGCAGUCCAUGAGCUGCUACUCGGAUAGAGACUUGAGGUUCUUAGUGCAGACUGUAUUGAUGCCCUCCAUGGCCGCGGUCGUCAACAAAGCCCAACAACUGCAGCACCGCCCCUGGUCAUUGACGGCGGUCACCGUACCCUUCUACCGCCAGUCCACCGAUGGCGGCAGUGCUGCCGUGCAUGAAACUGCCACCACCCUCCUUACGGUUGAACAUGCGGUGGUGAGAGACACGGGAGGAGGCGUAGGCGCGGUGGAACUCAGACUUCCUCCCGCUUUAAACAGACACCAAUGUGGCUAA
rnacentral:rRNA from 1 species